UGCAUCUGAAGCCUGACGAGGAUGAGAACCUCCGGGGGCAAGAGGUUCGACUCGAGCGCAGCGAGAGAACGUUGCGUCAGCAACGGCCCGC
rnacentral:sRNA from 3 species